rnacentral:rRNA from 1 species
UAGGGAAUCUUCCGCAAUGGGCGAAAGCUUGACGGAGCAACGCAGCGUGAGUGAUGAAGGUCUUCGGAUCGUAAAACUCUGUUAUUAGGGAAGAACAAAUGUGUAAGUAACUAUGCACGUCUUGACGGUACCUAAUCAUAAAGCCACGGCUAACUACGUGCCAGCAGCCGCGGUAAUACGUAGGUGGCAAGCGUUAUCCGGAAUUAUUGGGCGUAAAGCGCGCGUAGGCGGUUUUUUAAGUCUGAUGUGAAAGCCCACGGCUCAACCGUGGAGGGUCAUUGGAAACUGGAAAACUAGAGUGCAGAAGAGGAAAGUGGAAUUCCAUGUGUAGCGGUGAAAUGCUCAGAGAUAUGGAGGAACACCAGUGGCGAAGGCGACUUUCUGGUCUGUAACUGACGCUGAUGUGCGAAAGCGUGGGGAUCAAACAGG